rnacentral:rRNA from 1 species
AGUUUAGCUAAUGUUGCCCGUACCGUAAACCGACACAGGUGGGUGGGAUGAGUAUUCUAAGGCGCGUGGAAGAACUCUCUUUAAGGAACUCUGCAAAAUAGCACCGUAUCUUCGGUAUAAGGUGUGGUUAGCUUUGUAUUAGGAUUUACUCCGAAAGCGAAGAAACUUACAACAAAGAGUCCCUCCCGACUGUUUACCAAAAACACAGCACUCUGCUAACUCGUAAGAGGAUGUAUAGGGUGUGACGCCUGCCCGGUGCUCGAAGGUUAAUUGAUGGGGUUAGCAUUAGCGAAGCUCUUGAUCGAAGCCCGAGUAAACGGCGGCCGUAACUAUAACGGUCCUAAGGUAGCGAAAUUCCUUGUCGGUUAAAUACCGACCUGCAUGAAUGGCGUAACGAGAUGGGAGCUGUCUCAAAGAGGGAUCCAGUGAAAUUGUAGUGGAGGUGAAAAUUCCUCCUACCCGCGGCAAGACGGAAAGACCCCGUGGACCUUUACUACAGCUUGACACUGCUAUUUGGAUAAGAAUGUGCAGGAUAGGUGGGAGGCUUUGAGUAUAUGACGCCAGUUGUAUAUGAGCCAUUGUUGAGAUACCACUCUUUCUUAUUUGGGUAGCUAACCAGCUUGAGUUAUCCUCAAGUGGGACAAUGUCUGGUGGGUAGUUUGACUGGGGCGGUCGCCUCCCAAAUAAUAACGGAGGCUUACAAAGGUUGGCUCAGAACGGUUGGAAAUCGUUCGUAGAGUAUAAAGGUAUAAGCCAGCUUAACUGCAAGACAUACAAGUCAAGCAGAGACGAAAGUCGGUCUUAGUGAUCCGGUGGUUCUGUGUGGAAGGGCCAUCGCUCAAAGGAUAAAAGGUACCCCGGGGAUAACAGGCUGAUCUCCCCCAAGAGCUCACAUCGACGGGGAGGUUUGGCACCUCGAUGUCGGCUCAUCGCAUCCUGGGGCUGGAGCAGGUCCCAAGGGUAUGGCUGUUCGCCAUUUAAAGCGGUACGCGAGCUGGGUUCAGAACGUCGUGAGACAGUUCGGUCCCUAUCUGCCGUGGGCGUAAGAAGAUUGAAGAGAUUUGACCCUAGUACGAGAGGACCGGGUUGAACAAACCACUGGUGUAGCUGUUGUUCUGCCAAGAGCAUCGCAGCGUAGCUAAGUUUGGAAAGGAUAAACGCUGAAAGCAUCUAAGCGUGAAGCCAACUCUAAGAUGAAUCUUCUCUAAGCUCUCUAGAAGACUACUAGUUUGAUAGGCUGGGUGUGUAAUGGAUGAAAGUCCUUUAGCUGACCAGUACUAAUAGAGCGUUUGGCUUAUCUUUAAUAAAGCAU